rnacentral:rRNA from 1 species
AGAGUUUGAUCCUGGCUCAGAUUGAACGCUGGCGGCAUGCCUUACACAUGCAAGUCGAACGGCAGCACGGGUGCUUGCACCUGGUGGCGAGUGGCGAACGGGUGUUUUAUAUAUCGGAACGUACCUUAUCGUGGGGGAUAACGCAGCGAAAGCUGCGCUAAUACCGCAUACGCCCUGAGGGGGAAAGCGGGGGACCGUAAGGCCUCGCGCGAUUAGAGCGGCCGAUAUCUGAUUAGCUUGUUGGUGGGGUAAAAGCCCACCAAGGCGACGAUCAGUAGCUGGUCUGAGAGGACGAUCAGCCACACUGGGACUGAGACACGGCCCAGACUCCUACGGGAGGCAGCAGUGGGGAAUUUUGGACAAUGGGGGCAACCCUGAUCCAGCAAUGCCGCGUGAGUGAAGAAGGCCUUCGGGUUGUAAAGCUCUUUUGUCAGGGAAGAAACAGCAGCUCUAACACAGUCUGCGAAUGACGGUACCUGAAGAAUAAGCACCGGCUAACUACGUGCCAGCAGCCGCGGUAAUACG